GUAUGAAGAAUACUCAACGUAGUGUGAAGAGAACAGAAGGAUAUUUUCGUUUCAAGAAAGAUGGAUUUGAAGGCCUUUUGGGUAAAGUUUUUCGAGACUGGCUCAUCGGCUGGUGGAGCUUCGAACUCGGUAUCGUUGGCGAUCAUUGAAAGACACCUGACCACGCCCCCACCCAUGACGUCAACUUCUUCAUCGCCAUAGACCAUGGACAGGAACACAACUCACCAGCAGUAUGACCACGGAAUGUAAAUCCUCAAGACUAGACCAGUGAUUGACAUUCUGAGUAUUGAUGACUACAUUCAGGAUACAGUGACUUCACACACACACAUAGAGAGAGAGAAGAGGAGAGGAAAUCAUCAUCAUCAUCAUCCCAGCCAUAAAUUAUUUACAGUCCCUAAGAAGCAUUGCUUGCUGAAGACCAGCUUUAACUCAGACCUUCACAACAAAACAGCUUUGGGAUUACUGUUUCCGUGUGUUCUGUUGCUGUAACAAUAUUCCUCAUUAACACUGUGCUCUUAACUAUAAGUUAUCACAUCGCGUCUCCGGGAAUACAGGGAAUACAACCUUACGAGGGACUGAUAAAACCCGUAUUUCCCGAGACACGAUGUGAUAACGCAUUUAUCUAACCGAAUGUUUUUACUAAAUCAAAAGAAAACAAUACGCAUAACGCUUUACUUCAAUUUCAUUCUUAGUUGUUGUGGCAAAACGUUUCCUUGCUGCCAUGUUGACAACAGCUGAUCGAUUGACCUCAAUGCAGCGCACGUUACUAAAGGCUUGGUGUACCUUGUAUUUUAUCAGAGUCGCAUCACGUGAACCAAUCAAAAUUCGACAUUCUUACAUGAGGCUGGAUAAUGUGUUUUGUCAGUAUGGAACAAUUUUUCUUAAAACAUGUUCAUGACCAACACAAUGCUUAUCAUUAUGUCCUUUAACAACAUCUCAUGUCAACAUUUUGUCAAUAAUGAACACUGUGCCACAACACUGCCUAUAAAGAA